GGUCCCUUGGUGCAGUGGUAGCAUAGCAGACUUCGAAUCUGUCGGUCGUCGGUUCGAAUCCGGCAGGGAUCU